UUGGACGAAAUUGCAAUAUGU
ensembl:piRNA 21ur-2799 ncRNA